UCCACAGUCAACAAAAUAAUUUUGGAAACCUGCGAAGGACUUCAACACUAUUUGGGAUUUCGCGAACUGUGUGGGCGCAAUCGACGGAAAGCACAUCACUUUAAAAUGUCUUUCCAACUCCGGAUCUCUUUUUUACAAUUACAAGGGUACCUACUCCAUCGUAUUAUUAGCAUGUUGCGAUGCGAAUUACACAUUUACUUCUAUCGAUAUUGGUGCGUACGGUUCGCAAAGCGACGGCGGUGUGCUUUGGAAUUCUGGAUUUGGUCAAAGGCUGUUCCAUGAUCAACUAGACCUGCCUGAGGAUGACAUUUUACCAGACAGCAAUAUUAAGUUUCCGCAUUAUUUCGUUGGAGAUGCAGCAUUUCCUUUAAAAAAAAAUUUAAUGCGACCAUAUCCUGGAUUGCAUCUGCCACCCGAUCGUGAAAAUUUUAAUAAGCGCCUUUCAAGAGCUCGGCGUGUUAUUGAAAACGCCUUCGGAAUUAU